rnacentral:rRNA from 1 species
ACAAAUAUGAAGGCGGGCUGGAACCUCUCGGGGUUACAGCCUUGCUGAAUUAUUCACCCUUGUCUUUUGCGUACUUCUUGUUUCCUUGGUGGGUUCGCCCACCACUAGGACAAACAUAAACCUUUUGUAAUUGCAAUCAGCGUCAGUAACAAAUUAAUAAUUACAACUUUCAACAACGGAUCUCUUGGUUCUGGCAUCGAUGAAGAACGCAGCGAAAUGCGAUAAGUAGUGUGAAUUGCAGAAUUCAGUGAAUCAUCGAAUCUUUGAACGCACAUUGCGCCCUUUGGUAUUCCAAAGGGCAUGCCUGUUCGAGCGUCAUUUGUACCCUCAAGCUUUGCUUGGUGUUGGGCGUCUUGUCUCUAGCUUUGCUGGAGACUCGCCUUAAAGUAAUUGGCAGCCGGCCUACUGGUUUCGGAGCGCAGCACAAGUCGCACUCUCUAUCAGCAAAGGUCUAGCAUCCAUUAAGCCUUUUUUCAACUUUUGACCUCGGAUCAGGUAGGGAUACCCGCUGAACUUAAGCAUAUCAAUAGG